CCCUGCCUUCAUUCACUGUCCGGUUCUUAGGGAAACUUUUGAGUCUCAGAUGCAGAUUAGAUGGUUCCCUCACUUCGUUUCCCUGUUUCUGAUCUGUUCGUUUUGGCUAACCCCCAUAAGAAAGCAAGAACUUACGAUUCACUCACUAUUGGGUGAUUUAGUUGUGUGGAAUAGUUAUGGGAAAGCUGAUGCAGCAGGUUGUAGAUGCAUACUUAGGGGUUUGCCUUAAAAAAGGCACAAAGGUGUGCCCCUGGGGCAGUGUUAUACUGAGGGAUGCAUAGGAUAACAGAGUCUGCUUUGAUUUGGUAACAUGGUGUCAAUAAUGGAAAUAGGAUUCAUCUUCAUGUAGGUGCUAAAAGAUUGGCCGUUCCACAAAAAGACAUUCUAUUCAGGACAGCAAAUCUCUUCUCACUGACGCGUUUGGUAGCACAAGUCAAUGAGACGGUAAAUUUGAUCCCCUGUCUCUCUUGCCCUCUGCUGCUCUGUUGAGGUAGAGAUCUCUUCUCAUGAACCUCAACUCUGGGAAGUGGACGACAGCUUUAACUUCCAGGAGCACCCUUUGCACCUUGGCCAUCCUGAGCAGGUGGAUGCAGCCUUUCCCUAGCUUCUAAGAAAGGGGAAGAGAGCCCCCCUGAAGAGACCUUUUCUCCGAGCAAGGACUGAAAGCAAGUGCAAGCAAGAAGCGUAGGGGAUCCCUAGAACUAGACUGUGAGUUGAGAGGAGUACCGUUCAACGUAUGUAGCUGCCUGGUACCCUUGACUUUUCCGUUUUCUUCCUCAUACUUCACCCAGGUCUGGUGUCUUGUCUUUUCACAGGAGAGUAAACGUGCCUUUUAACAUCUCAGAGCUUCUACUGCUGGUUUCAUACAGACCCGUGGGAUGGUGAUGCUCACAGUUGCUGCCCGACUGUCCAGACUGAUAAGGUCUCACCAGUGUGUGCACUCAGGUGUCAACCAGUGUCCUGCUGACUGGUGUGUGGACAACCAGCUAACACUGGAAACUGAGCCAGAAGCAAAGAGAGUUUUAUCAACAGUAAAAUCAGAUUGCUCUCCCAGUCUGGC
rnacentral:lncRNA from 1 species